rnacentral:rRNA from 1 species
AUUGAACGCUGGCGGCAGGCCUAACACAUGAAAGUCGAGCGAGCGGCGGACGGUUGAGUAAUGUCUGGGAAACUGCCUGAUGGAGGGGGAUAACUACUGGAAACGGUAGCUAAUACCGCAUAACAUCAGAUGUGCCCACAUGGGAUUAGCUCGUGAGUGGGGCAAUGGCGCACCGAGGCGACGAGCCCUAGCUGGUCUGAGAGGAUGACCAGCCAAACUGGAACUGAGAAACGGUCCAGACUCCUACGGGAGGCAGAAGGUGGGAAUAUUGCACAAUGGGCGCACGCCUGAUGCAGCCAUGCCGGGUGUAUGAAGAAGGCCUUCGGGUUGUAAAGGACUUUCAGCGUGGAGGCGUUACCCGCAGAAGAAGCACCGGCUAACUCCGUGCCAGCAGCCGCGGUAAUAC